rnacentral:pre_miRNA from 1 species
UAAAUACUUCCUUCGUUUCGAAAUACUUGUUGUAGGUAUGAAUGUAUUUAAAUAUAUUUUAAGUCUAGAUACAUCCAUUUCUACGACGAGUAAUUUGAAACGAAAGGAGUAGUUG